rnacentral:rRNA from 1 species
GAUGAACGCUAGCGGCAGGCCUAAUACAUGCAAGUCGAACGGUGUAGCAAUACACAGUGGCGCACGGGUGCGUAACACGUAUGCAACCUACCUAUCAUUGGGGGAUAGCCUUUGGAAACGGAGAUUAAUACCGCAUAAGACAGUAACAUGGCAUCAUGUAGCUGUUAAAGCUUUGGCGAUGAUAGAUGGGCAUGCGUCCAAUUAGUUAGUUGGUGAGGUAACGGCUCACCAAGACGAUGAUUGGUAGGGGAUCUGAGAGGAUAAUCCCCCACACUGGAACUGGGCUACGGGCCAGACUCCUACGGGAGGCAGCAGUAGGGAAGAUUGGGCAAUGGACGGAAGUCUCACCCAGCCAUGCAGCGUGCAAGAUGAAGGCGUUAUGCGUUGUAAACUGCUUUUUUAUAGGAAGAAGGAGACCUUGCGAGGUUUGGUGACGGUACUAUAAGAAUAAGCACCGGCUAACUCCGUGCCAGCCGCCGCAGUAAAAC